rnacentral:rRNA from 1 species
UACGUAGGGUGCUAGCGUUGUUCGGAAUCAUUGGGCGUAAAGCGCGUGUAGGCUGCUAGGUAAGUCGAUUUGUGAAAUCCCUGGGCUCAACCAGGAAGUGCAGUCGAAACUCCCUAGCUAGAAGACGGUAGAGGAAGGUGGAAUUCCAAGUGUAGAGGUGAAAUUCGUAGAUAUUUGGAAGGAAUACCGGUGGCGAAGGCGGCCUCUGGACCGCUCUUGACGCUGAGACGCGAAAAGCGUGGGUAGCAAACAGGGA